AUUGAACGCUGGCGGCAGGCCUAACACAUGCAAGUCGAGCGAGCGGCGGACGGGUGAGUAAUGUAUGGGAAACUGUCUGAUGGAGGGGGAGAACAACUGGAAAAGGUAGGUAAUACCGCAUACCAUAUGAGGUGCCCCGAUGGGAGUAGCUAGUAGGUGGGGUAACGGCUCACCAAGGCGACGAUCCCUAGCUGGUCUGAGAGGAUGACCAGCCACACUGGAACUGAGACACGGUCCAGACUCCUACGGGAGGCAGCAGUGGGGAAUAUUGCACAAUGGGCGCAAGCCUGAUGCAGCCAUGCCGCGUGUAUGAAGAAGGCCUUAGGGUUGUAAAGCACUUUCAGCGGGGAGGCGUUACCCGCAGAAGAAGCACCGGCUAACUCCGUGCCAGCAGCCGCGGUAAUAC
rnacentral:rRNA from 1 species